UACGGAGGGGGCUAGCGUUGUUCGGAAUCACUGGGCGUAAAGCGCACGUAGGCGGAUCUUUUAAGUCAGGUGUGAAAGCCCCGGGCUCAACCUGGGAAUUGCAUUUGAGACUGAAUAGCUAGGGUGCGGAAGAGGGAAGCGGAAUUUCCGGUGUAGCGGUGAAAUGCGUAGAUAUCGGAAGGAACACCAGUGGCGAAAGCGGCUUCCUGGUCCAGCACCGACGUCAGGCACGAAAGCGUGGGGAGCAAACAGGG
rnacentral:rRNA from 1 species